CUGCAACUGUUUAUUAAAAACACAGCACUGUGCAAACACGAAAGUGGACGUAUACGGUGUGACGCCUGCCCGGUGCCGGAAGGUUAAUUGAUGGGGUCAGCGCAAGCGAAGCUCCUGAUCGAAGCCCCGGUAAACGGCGGCCGUAACUAUAACGGUCCUAAGGUAGCGAAAUUCCUUGUCGGGUAAGUUCCGACCUGCACGAAUGGCGUAAUGAUGGCCAGGCUGUCUCCACCCGGGACUCAGUGAAAUUGAACUCGCUGUGAAGAUGCAGUGUACCCGCGGCAAGACGGAAAGACCCCGUGAACCUUUACUAUAGCUUGACACUGAACACUGGUCCUUGAUGUGCAGGAUAGGUGGGAGGCUUUGAAGUGUGGACGCCAGUCUGCAUGGAGCCGACCUUGAAAUACCACCCUUUAAUGGCUGGUGUUCUAACGUGGGCCCGUGAACCGGGUUGCGGACAGUGUCUGGUGGGUAGUUUGACUGGGGCGGUCUCCUCCUAAAGAGUAACGGAGGAGCACGAAGGUUGGCUAAUCCUGGUCGGACAUCAGGAGGUUAGUGCAAUGGCAUAAGCCAGCUUGACUGCGAGCGUGACGGCGCGAGCAGGUGCGAAAGCAGGUCAUAGUGAUCCGGUGGUUCUGAAUGGAAGGGCCAUCGCUCAACGGAUAAAAGGUACUCCGGGGAUAACAGGCUGAUACCGCCCAAGAGUUCAUAUCGACGGCGGUGUUUGGCACCUCGAUGUCGGCUCAUCACAUCCUGGGGCUGAAGUAGGUCCCAAGGGUAUGGCUGUUCGCCAUUUAAAGUGGUACGCGAGCUGGGUUUAGAACGUCGUGAGACAGUUCGGUCCCUAUCUGCCGUGGGCGCUGGAAGAUUGAGGGGGGCUGCUCCUAGUACGAGAGGACCGGAGUGGACGCAUCACUGGUGUUCGGGUUGUCAUGCCAAUGGCACUGCCCGGUAGCUACAUGCGGAAGAGAUAAGUGCUGAAAGCAUCUAAGCACGAAACUUGCCCCGAGAUGAAUCUUCCCUGAGCCUUUAAGGCUCCUGAAGGAACGUUGAAGACGACGACGUUGAUAGGCCGGGUGUGUAAGCGCAGCGAUGCGUUGAGCUAACCGGUACUAAUGAACCGUGAGGCUUAACCUUACAACGCCGAAG
rnacentral:rRNA from 1 species